CAGCAUGUGUACUGCCGUUGUAAGCAUACCUUUAAAAGAAUAGUAUGCUACUAUGAUUAUAAUUAACUCAUAUACAUCAGGUCAAAGUGCAGCUAAUGAGGAGGAGAUGAUGGGUUACAACCAUAAAAAAGACUAUCAACUAAAAAAUAAAAAAUUUAUUACGAAAGUGGACUUGGCUGUAAUUAACUUCAGUUAAAACAAAUGAAUAAUCUCUAAGACAUGUACACAUCGCCCGUCACUCUAUCCUAAAGGUUAGACAAGUCGUAACAAAGUAGGUGUAAUGGAAAUUGCACCUGUCGGAGUAUAGCAUAUAAAAUGCUUUUUACUUACACUAAAAAUAAAGUUAAUAAACUUGCCCCGCCCACAUGAUAUGACCCUCUAAACAAUAAAUAAUAGAAGCAACUAAACAUAUAAUACAUAAAAGUACAGAAAUGGAAAACCCAAUAAAUAAAAGUAAUUAUUAAAAAAUAUACCUUGUGCAUUAUGGUUUUACAAGAAAAUAAUUUAAAACCUAAAUCCCGAAUUCUAAAUGAGAUGUUAAACUGCUGUUAUGAACCCAUUAAUAACUGUGGAAAAAGUUUUAAAAGACAGUUUAACAGAGGCUACAUACCAUUCGCAUAAGAAUAUAGCUGGUUUUCAACAAACAUUAUACAUUAAAACAUAUAAUUAUAUUAUAGUGUAAAAUUACUGAGGAUAAGCCCAAUAAUUUAAUGCAAUAUGUUAAAAUAUCUAUUAACACCUAUAGGCCUAAAAUCAGCCAACUAAAAUACUUUACCGUAAUUAAAACAGAUAAAUAUACAUAAAUUAGUUAUGCUAAAAAAAGUUGAAGUAGUGGGUAAAUUAUAUGUCCCACUUACAUUAUGUAAAAAUAAGUAUUUAUAUACUAUAAACAAUAUUAUACAAGAAAUAACACCAAAUAAAUGAUAAAAAUUAAUUAAGGAACUCGGCAAAUACUUAUUUCGACUGUUUAAC
rnacentral:rRNA from 1 species